rnacentral:rRNA from 1 species
AUACGGAGGGUGCAAGCGUUGUUCGGAAUUAUAGGGCGUAAAGCGCGUGUAGGCGGUCUGUUAAGUCUGGUGUGAAAGCCCUGGGCUCAACCCAGGAAGUGCAUUGGAUACUGGCAGACUUGAGUAUGGGAGAGGAAGGCGGAAUUCCGAGUGUAGGAGUGAAAUCCGUAGAUAUUCGGAGGAACACCAGUGGCGAAGGCGGCUUUCUGGACCAAUACUGACGCUGAGACGCGAAAGCGUGGGGAGCAAACAGGAUUAGAAACCCUAGUAGUCC